GAAUCUACCUUGCUGCUAGGUUGAAAAGAUUCUCUCCAGGCUCUGUGUCAUUGGAUCUGUCUGCAGCAUUUCCCGUCAACUUUCCUGACAAUACUCUCUGCUGAUUUCCAUGACAGCACUCCAUGCUAGUUCUCAACUCUUCAAUCACACCUGUUCAGACUCCUAAUUGACUGCCCCUUAUCCAUUAGUAGCCCUCCCUGGGUUCUGGCUUCUCACUCCACACAUUCUCCCUGAUUAUCUUAUCCUCAUUCCCAGCUGGAACCACCACCUCACUCCGACCCAGAUCACUCUUUUAAGCUCUAACUGCCCACAACUGCCCAUGGGACACAUCUUCUUAGUUGUUCCACAGGCACCUCAAAAUCACCAUCUUGUUAACCAGUUUUCCUGUCCUCUUACCUAAACCCAGUCUCAUCUCCCCCAUCAAAUCAGUCACCAAAGGUGAAUGGCUCAAGGAACAAAUAUGAUCCAAGCUGAACCAAGCAGAUUCUACUAAGAAUUUACAAUGAGGACCCAGAAGAUUCUAAACAGUGUUGCUCCUCAGAGGGUGAAAACUUGGGUGUGUACAGAACCACCCUGGAAUGACAGCAGGUUUAGCAAGCUGAAUGAGGCCUGUAUCCUACAAAGAAGAAAUGGGAGACUUGUACCCAGGAGGUACAAGGUCAAAACCUCUAAGCCAUGACUCUGCAUGCUGGGAAGGGUGAGAGCCUCUCCUCUUCUCAGCUUGUCUCUUCCAGGGUACAGCCUCAACCCCAUCAGUGAGUUGGGAUGAAGGUGAUCACAUUCCAGGGUUCUUGUUCCAUGCCUGGGUUAGAGCCCUGUCUUCUAAGUGGUAGCUGAGUUUCAGAAGAGACCCCAACCUCUCAGCCACACUCACAAGGAAUCUAGCCUCUUUAACAGACCUGGAGGGGAUAAGAAAUGCUCUCCUGGAAACAGAAGCACAGAGAGCUCCAGUUACUUAUCCAAAGUCACACAGGAAGCAAGUUACUGAAUAACUGAGCUGAGAUGUAAAGUCUAGAGCCUGAAGCCUGCUACCUCUGAAGAUGUGUAGGAAGUGCUAAGGGCUCAGGGAGCUGGGGUCCUAAAUCAACUCUCCAACUUUAUCUUUAUCCCUGGUUGCAUCAAAGUGGCCAUAAUUAACUCCUUACUGUUUCCAUAUUCACCACAUUCUUUGUACCUCUGACUGGAAUGCCCUUGCCUUCUUGCCCACCUAACAAUUAAAAUAAUAACAUUGUUGAACAUCUGUUGUAUAUGCUGUGACUGUUUUGUGUGCUUGAUAUGUAUUUGCUCCUUAAUCUUCAAUGACCACCUCUUGAGUUGGGUAUUAUUAUUAUGACUAUUAUUAUGAUUAUUAUUCUUAUCCAUUAAAAGGUAUGCUAUAGGGA
ensembl:lncRNA